rnacentral:rRNA from 1 species
UACAGAGGUCCCAAGCGUUGUUCGGAUUCACUGGGCGUAAAGGGUGCGUAGGUGGUGAGGUAAGUCGGAUGUGAAAUCUCCAAGCUCAACUUGGAAGCUGCAUUGGAAACUACCUUGCUAGAGGAUUUGAGGGGGGAUUGGAAUACUUGGUGUAGCAGUGAAAUGCGUAGAUAUCAAGUGGAACACCAGUGGCGAAGGCGGUUGCCUGGGGCUUUGCUGACGCUGAUGCGCGAAAGCGUGGGGAGCGAUCCGG